CUCUGCAGGCAUACACUACUCUGGCUACCCUAAACACAUCCAAGCUUGUCUGUUCCUGGAGGCCAAGCAGGGUUGGACCCACUUAGUGCUUGCAUGGCAGUCA
rnacentral:rRNA from 1 species